rnacentral:rRNA from 1 species
UACGUAGGGGGCAAGCGUUGUCCGGAUUUAUUGGGCGUAAAGAGCGUGUAGGCGGCCAGACAGGUCCGUUGUGAAAACUCGAGGCUCAACCUCGAGACGCCGAUGGAAACCGUCUGGCUAGAGUCCGGAAGAGGAGAGUGGAAUUCCUGGUGUAGCGGUGAAAUGCGCAGAUAUCAGGAGGAACACCGAUGGCGAAGGCAGGUCUCUGGGCCACUACUGACGCUGAGAAGCGAAAGCGUGGGGAGCGAACAGG